AUGGGGCUGAGGGUCACUCAGUACUGCAUCUUUGUUAUAAUGUUAAUACAUGGUGUGAGCAGUGAUGAGAUCAGAGUGGACCAGUCUUCUGCUGUGGUAAAGAGACCUGGAGGACAUGUGAAGAUCUCUUGUAAGAUAAAUGGCUUUGAUAUGACUGAGUAUCUCAUGCACUGGAUACGACAGAAACCAGGGAAAGCUCUAGAAUGGAUUGGAUAUGUGAACUCGGGUACAACUGAUGAACUCACAUAUGCAAACUCCAUGAAAGGCCAAUGUCUCUUCUCUGAAGACAUCCCUACAAGCACACAGUUCUUAGAAGCCAAGACUCUGAGGACAGAGGACACUGCAGUUUAUUACUGCACCCAAAGGCACAGUGACUGGAGCGGGGGAAGCAGCUAUGCUAAAAUCACACACAUAUUUUAA